rnacentral:rRNA from 1 species
GACGAACGCUGGCGGCGUGCUUAACACAUGCAAGUCGAACGAUGAGCUUGGAGCUUGCUCUGGGGGAUUAGAGGCGAACGGGUGAGUAACACGUGAGUAACCUGCCCUGGACUCUGGGAUAACUUCGAGAAAUCGGAGCUAAUACCGGAUAGGACCUUGCACCGCAUGGUGUGGGGUGGAAAGUUUUUCGGUUUGGGAUGGACUCGCGGCCUAUCAGCUUGUUGGUGAGGUAAUGGCUCACCAAGGCGUCGACGGGUAGCCGGCCUGAGAGGGUGACCGGCCACACUGGGACUGAGACACGGCCCAGACUCCUACGGGAGGCAGCAGUGGGGAAUAUUGCACAAUGGGCGCAAGCCUGAUGCAGCAACGCCGCGUGCGGGAUGACGGCCUUCGGGUUGUAAACCGCUUUUAGUAGGGAAGAAGCCUUCGGGUGACGGUACCUGCAGAAAAAGGACCGGCUAACUACGUGCCAGCCGCCGCAGUAAGAC